GAUCCUGGCUCAGGAUGAACGCUGGCGGCGUGCUUAACACAUGCAAGUCGAACGAAGCACUUAAGAAUGAUUCUUCGGAUGAAUUUUUUUGUGACUUAGUGGCGGACGGGUGAGUAACGCGUGGGUAACCUGCCUCACACAGGGGGAUAACAGUUGGAAACGACCGCUAAUACCGCAUAACCCGCUAGGGCCGCAUGGCCCGGACGGAAAAGAUUUAUCGGUGUGAGAUGGACCCGCGUUGGAUUAGCUAGUUGG
rnacentral:rRNA from 1 species